rnacentral:rRNA from 1 species
GAUGAACGCUGGCGGCGUGCUUAAUACAUGCAAGUCGAGCGAACAGACCAGGAGCUUGCUCCUCUCACGAUUGCGGCGCACGGGUGUGAAACACGUGGAUCAUCCACUUAUAUGUCUGGUAUAAUCACGGGACUCCGGAGCUUACACCGUAUAAUAUCCUGCACCGUAUUGGUCGAUGGAAAGAGUCGGUUUUUCUGUCUCUUAUAGAUGGUUCUGCGCGGGUUUAGCUAGUAGGUAAGGUAACGGCUUAUCACGGCAACCAUGCGUAGCCGACUUAAGAGAGUGAUCGGCCACACUGGAACGGAGACACGGACCAGACGCCUACGGUAGGCAGCAGUAGGGUAUCUUCCGCAGUAGGCGAAAACCUGACGGAGCGACGCCGCGUGUGUGAUGAAAGUCUUCGGAUCGUAAUACUCUGUUAUUAGGGGAAAACAAAUGUGGAAGUAAAUGAGCACGUCUUGACGGUACCUAGUCAGAAAGCCACGGCUAACUACGUG